rnacentral:lncRNA from 1 species
AGUAUACUGUAGAAAAAUGAUUUUAUUUUGCAUAAUAAGAGAAACACAUGUCAAUAUAUAAACCAUCUCAUGGAUUAUGGGUUGGCCAAGCUUACUUUAAGUCAUUAAAUAUGCUUGGUAUAAUUUUUAUUAAUAUUUUCCAUUCAAAAAAAAAAUUUCAAAGUUCAAGUUAAAAAAAAAUUGUAUAUUAUCUUGAGUCUUCAUAGAAAUAAUAAUCACAAAGCAAAUUAAAAGAUGGAAAAUUAAAAUCAAACAUGCAAAGGAAAUUUUAUCACAAAAUAUUGAUAGUAGGGAUGAUUUCAAUGAUGAAAGAAUCAGCCAGCACACAAGAUCACAAAAAUUUAAAUAUUCUAUUGCCAGAGAGAUGCCUAAUGGACAUUGAGCCAACAGACAUUUGUUCUAAUGAACACUUAACAUAUGAUCAAAUGGACAUAUGGUUUUUAAAUUUUAUUUUUAUUAUUAUUAAUUUUUUUUUCAUAUUUAUCCUUUGUAAUGUAC